rnacentral:lncRNA from 1 species
CGAAGAUGUGUGCAUGGGCCUUGACUCAGUUUACCUACACACCAUAUGGUCCUGCUCACAUGCUCUUCAGUUUACUCAUCUGUACAGUGAGAUUGGAUUGAAUGAGAUCAAGUAUUUGAAAGCAUUUUUAAGUUUUUAAAAGCUAAAAAAAAAUGUAAGAAAUGGCAGUCAUUCUUUUGGUGUUCUCUCUCUUUUUGCAUCUCAUAGGCUGGGCCCAUGGUAUGGAAGGUAUUCAAAAAGUCCUUGUUGGUUAGUUAUUUGGAAUGAAAGUCCAGAAAAUGCUAAAGAAUGCCUAAGGAGACAAACAACAGUGACAGAUGCCGGAAGAUGUAUAAUGAUGGGUCUACAUCGGUCAUGGCAAUCUCAGCUCCCUUGGCCACUGAUCAAUCUGAAGAUGGGAAGGUGCCCCACGGUGUCCAAAGAGAUGCGAGGAUGAAUUGGCUGAGCAAGACUCACAAGGAGAAGGGCUUCUGCCCCUUGCCCAUUUUUCCUGAAUGUCUACGUGUUGCAGAAGCUACAGUGGUCGUCUUGGGACCGAGAGAUGACAAGCAUGAGAAGAGAACCAAAGUGGCAAGGAUGUUAAGGCAGAAAUACAGAAAGAACCUGGAUCUCCUAAGGCAUGGCUGAAAUUCAUACCUUGAACUGCCUACCUUGACUUGUUCUUACGUGAGAAAAAUAUACUCUUGUUUAUUGAAACCACUGUAAUUCACUUGUUGUUACUUGCGGAUACACUCUUAACUGAUACAACCUACUACAGUCCUGUGCUGUUGGUGGCGUAGGUCAUGUUGACCCCACGUGAUAGAUGGAGACCCCGAGGCUCGGGUAAAUGAAGGUGACCUACAGUGGCAGAGCUUAGACUGCAGCUCAGGUUCCCUGCUUGUAAGUCCUUGGUAUUCUCCAAUGACCUAUAGCUUCGCCCUUCUAAUUAAACCUUCCUACUAAUCUAUAGAUUCUUCUGUUUUCCCUUCUAUUAAGGAAGAAGGAAUUGGUAAGUCCCUAUCUGUUCCGAGCUUUCCUUGUACCUCUGCUGUCAGCCACCUGGCUUCUGAUUGUCAUUAUUCAUUAUUUAAGUGAUUAAUUCUG